GCCCGGGUGGCGCAAUGGCAGCGCAUCCGAUUUGUAAUCGGACGGUUAGGGGUUCGAAUCCCCUCUCGGGCUCCA
rnacentral:tRNA from 2 species